rnacentral:rRNA from 1 species
GACGAACGCUGGCGGCGUGCUUAACACAUGCAAGUCGAACGGAAAGGCCCUGCUUUUGUGGGGUGCUCGAGUGGCGAACGGGUGCGUAACACGUGAGUAACCUGCCCUUGACUUUGGUAUAACUUCAGGAAACUGGGCCUAAUACCGGAUAGCAGCUCCUGCUGCAUGGUGGGGGUUGGAUAGUCUCGGCGGUUGGGGUUGGACUCGCGGCUUAUCAGCUUGUUGGUGGGGUAGUGGCUUACCAAGGCUUUGAAGGGUAGCCGGCCUGAGAGGGUGACCGGCCACAUUGGGACUGAGAGACGGACCAGAGUCCUACGGGAGGCAGCAGGGGGGAAUAUGGCACAAUGGGCGGAAGCCUGAUGAAGCAACGCCGCGUGCGGGAUGACGGCCUUCGGGUUGUAAACCGCUUUCGCCUGUGACGAAGCGGGAGUGACGGUAAUGGGUAAAGAAGCACCGGCUAACUACGUG